AGUCCUCUGUACCCGUGCUGAGAUUUCGUCAAAUACCAAACCACAAGGGCUGAUGAGACACUCUCAAGAUAAGUGAAGUG
rfam:Schistosoma mansoni strain Puerto Rico chromosome 1, complete genome